rnacentral:rRNA from 1 species
UACGGAGGGUGCAAGCGUUAAUCGGAAUUACUGGGCGUAAAGAGUGCGUAGGUGGUUGAUUAAGUUAUGUGUGAAAUCCCUGGGCUUAACCUGGGCAGGUCAUAUAAUACUGAUUGACUCGAGUAUGGGAGAGGGUAGUGGAAUUUCCGGUGUAGCGGUGAAAUGCGUAGAUAUCUGGAGGAAUACCGGUGGCGAAGGCGGCAUCCUGGACCGGCAUUGACGCUGAUGAGCGAAAGCUAGGGGAGCAAACGGG